rnacentral:miRNA from 1 species
CAUAUACAUACACACACACGUAU